rnacentral:rRNA from 1 species
GACGUAGAGGGCCAGCGUUGUUCGGAAUUACUGGGUGUAAAGGGUUCGUAGGCGGUGUGGCAAGUCGGGAGUGAAAUCUCUGGGCUCAACCCAGAGUCUGCUUCCGAAACUGCUGUGCUUGAGUGUGGGAGAGGCGCGUGGAAUUGCAGGUGUAGCGGUGAAAUGCGUAGAUAUCUGCAGGAACACCCGUGGCGAAAGCGGCGCGCUGGACCACUACUGACGCUGAGGAACGAAAGCUAGGGGAGCAAACAGG